rnacentral:rRNA from 1 species
UACGGAGGGGACUAGCGUUGUUCGGAAUUACUGGGCGUAAAGCGCACGUAGGCGGAUUUGUAAGUCAGGGGUGAAAUCCCGGGGCUCAACUUCGGAACUGCCUUUGAUACUGGCGAGCUUGAGUCCGGGAGAGGUGAGUGGAACUGUGAGUGUAGAGGUGAAAUUCGUAGAUAUUCGCAAGAACACCAGUGGCGAAGGCGGCUCACUGGCCCGGUACUGACGCUGAGGUGCGAAAGCGUGGGGAGCAAACAGG